UUGUAUCUCCUCCUGGCUCUCAAACUGCAACUCUUGCCCUCUGUGCCGGUCUAACGUCUCCGGAGGAAAAUGAGUAGGAAUUUUUUCAUAUCUCUUUCAUUCAUUUUUGGGUUUUCUUUUGAUCGGAAAGAUUUAUUAUUUUCACAAGGAGAUUAAUAAUUUUUUCCCAAAUCACACUUCUUCUUCUUCGACUAAAUCUAAUCAGACUAGACAAUGCCAAAAAUGAAUGAAAGAGAUAUGAAAAAAUUC
rnacentral:misc_RNA from 1 species